CGAUGUUUAUAUUCUUCUUAACAUGAUACUAAUAGUAAAAAUGAAAUAGAAUUAUUCUCAAAUAUCUCGUCUUCGAUACCGUUGAUGAUACCAAUGGCAUAUAAUUUUACAGAACAUUUCAUAAUUAUAGGUCAAUGAAGGAGAGACUAAUAUUUUAAGUAAGAAAACUAUGAAAAUAUUAGGACAAAGUGUAUUGCUGUCCAUAGAUGCCAAAAUUCGUAUCUUUGAAACUUUAUUGCUAGGAAACAAACCUAACUCUCUAUCAUCGUUAUUCUUUCAUCUCGAUUUACCUUUCCUUUUAAAACAUUCUAUAUACAUAAAAAUUCGAGAUUUAGGGGAGUUAUCUUUUUAUAAACAUGUCAACUUUUAAUUAAUGAUAUCUCAAUAAUAACAGUAACGCAUAAACAAUGGAGACGUUAUACUCUAUAAUCUCUAUUGUGCACGCACGAGCCUUAUUUGCAUGUUAGGUGCCGAUCACGGAUUCUGUUGUCGGACUUUCUAUUAAAGUGGCUUCUCAGAUCACCGCUUUGAAUGUUUU